rnacentral:pre_miRNA from 1 species
CUCUUUGGUUAUCUAGCUGUAUGAGUUUAUGUGAUUUCAUAAAGCUAGAGAACCGAAUGU